rnacentral:rRNA from 1 species
AGAAUCAACGCUGGCGGCGUGCCUAACACAUGCAAGUCGAACGAGAAAGUGGAGCAAUCCAUGAGUAAAGUGGCGCACGGGUGAGUAACACGUGACUAACCUACCCUUGAGUGGGGGAUAACCUAGAGAAAUCUGGGCUAAUACCGCAUAAUACCUUCGGGUCAAAGGAGCAAUUCGCUUAAGGAGGGGGUCGCGGCCGAUUAGUUAGUUGGCGGGGUAAUGGCCCACCAAGACUGUGAU